GAAUCUGCGAAUGGCUCAUUAUAUCAGUUAUAGUUUAUUUGUCAUACUUACUACAUGGAUAACUGUAGUAAUUCUAGAGCUAAUACAUGCAACAAAAUCAGACUUCGGGAUGAUUGUUAAUAUUAGACAGAAGCCAUCCUCCUUCUGGAGAUCAAUGGUGAAUCAUAAUAUAGGGACGUGAUUGUAAAGCUUACGCUUACAACGUGUCAUAUAAGUUUCUGCCCUAUCAGCUUUGGAUGGUAGGGUAUUUGCCUACCAUGGCGUUAACGGGUAACGGGAGAUUGGGGUUUGACUCCGGAGAGGGAGCCUGAGAGAUGGCUACCACAUCCAAGGAAGGCAGCAGGCGCGUAAAUUACCCAAUCCUAAUAUAGGGAGGUAGUGACGAUUAAUAACAAUGCCGGACCUUUCAGGUCUGGCAAUUGGAAUGAGAUUGUUGUAAACAUUCUUUCCAGGAUCAAUUGGAGGGCAAGUCUGGU
rnacentral:rRNA from 1 species